rnacentral:rRNA from 1 species
AGUGAACGCUGGCGGUAGGCCUAACACAUGCAAGUCGAACGGCAGCACAGUAAGAGCUUGCUCUUACGGGUGGCGAGUGGCGGACGGGUGAGGAAUACAUCGGAAUCUACUUUUUCGUGGGGGAUAACGUAGGGAAACUUACGCUAAUACCGCAUACGACCUACGGGUGAAAGCAGGGGAUCUUCGGACCUUGCGCGAUUGAAUGAGCCGAUGUCGGAUUAGCUAGUUGGCGGGGUAAAGGCCCACCAAGGCGACGAUCCGUAGCUGGUCUGAGAGGAUGGUCAGCGAGGCUGGAAGUGAGACAGGGGCGAGACUCCUACGGGAGGCAGGGGUGGGGAAUAGGGGACAAGGGGCGCAAGGCUGAUCGAGCGAGACCGCGUGGGUGAAGAAGGCGUGCGGGUUGUAAAGCCCUUUUGUGGGGAAAGAAAAGCAGGAGGUUAGUACCCCGCUGUGCUGACGGUACCGAAAGAAUAAGAGCCGGCUAACUUCGUG